rnacentral:rRNA from 1 species
UACGUAGGGUGCAAGCGUUGUCCGGAAUUAUUGGGCGUAAAGAGCUCGUAGGCGGUUUGUCGCGUCUGCUGUGAAAACUGGAGGCUCAACCUCCAGCCUGCAGUGGGUACGGGCAGACUAGAGUGCGGUAGGGGGAGAUUGGAAUUCCUGGUGUAGCGGUGGAAUGCGCAGAUAUCAGGAGGAACACCGAUGGCGAAGGCAGAUCUCUGGGCCGUAACUGACGCUGAGGAGACGAAAGCAUGGGGGAGCGAACAGG